AGAAAUUAGAAAGGGGUUUUAGGGUUUACUUGUCUGGUGGCUAUUGAGUUUCUGAAGAACGAAAUCCUGCCCUCUUCUCGAACGGAUUCGCGGCGGCCGGAGAUCCUCUCACCCAUCUCCGACUGAGACUUAUCGGUGGCAACCCCCUCGACCUCCCAUCUUAUCCAACGCGAUCUCACUCUCGUCUGACACUCUCGUUUCUCUCUCGUUCGAAUCAUGACUCACUGUGGAACGGUUGCAGGUUGUGUUGAGGUCGAUGCGACGUCGAAGCUGUUGAUUACGGUAGCGAUAGAACGCGAUUGCAGAAACCUUCUCUUGAUGACGAAAGUGAGUUCUUUUGGAGAUCGGAUGAUUGAAGACGAUUAUAGCGAAGCACCGCGAUUGGAGUGAUGACGAUGAUUGAAGUCCGUUUCCAGUUCUUGAUUGGAGUGAAAGGUGAUGAAUGGUGAAGAUGAUGAAGUGGUAGCGAUUGAAGCAGAGUGAUGGUGAUUUGAGGUGUGGAGAAGAGGGAUUGAAGAUUGAUGAAGACCGAGGGAUGGUUUGAAGAUUGAUGAAUUGAUGAAGGUUCAGAGAGAGAGGUUGAAGAUGAUGGUUUGAAGAUUGAGGAAGAUGAUGAUGGAGAUGGAUGAAAGGUGAUGAGAGAAUGAAGCUGUGAAGGUGGAGGAAGAAGGUUACAGAGAAAGCAGAGUGUGAGAGAUGAAGGUUUUUUCUCUGUUGGUGAGUGAAGAAGAUUGAAGACUGGUUCAGUUUGUGAUGAAGAUGAGAGGAGUGAUGAAGAUGAUGGAUGGUGAAUGGCGUGGAGGAAGUGAAGAUGGUGAUGGAAAGUGAUGGUGGAGAAUGAGUGUGUGUAUGAACUUUAGACUCGGCACUUCUUCUCUCAAAGUUUGCAAGCGAAACAAUGAGAAGGUUUCUUGGUGGUACAAACAAAUAUGGCAGUGCUGUAGAUAACCUGGAGCUGUGACUGAAAUACAAUGUGGAUGGAGGACCGAAACUUAUUGGCCAUGAUCAUGAGGUGUGGUUGUUAUGUUAUGAUUCUGUUUGGAGUUUUUUGAUAGCUAGUUAUGGGAUUUGUUAUGGGCUGAUAACAAACUGUUAGGAAGUGGUGUUUUGAAAAGUUAUGAACUGAAGCUGAGUCUUGUAUGAAUUUUAUUA